rnacentral:tRNA from 1 species
GACCAGAUAGCUCAAUUGGUAGAGCAUCCGUCUAGAGCUCGGAGGGUCCCGGGUUCGAACCCCGGUCUGGCCG